AUGCAUGGUUGAAGCUUUCGGGGACGAGGAUUUAGCUGUGCCAAGCCGUUGUUGAGCUACGGUGUUACUGGCUGACGCCGCCAAUCACGGCCCACUCGAUGGCCCGUUAUCACCAGAGUCCUGGUCAAUAGGAUCCCUGAACUCCAGGUGCGCUGCGUGAUGCAUUUUUGCUCCUGGCAUGAUAAGCUCAAGCUGUCCCUCCCGCAUGGCAUAUGUUGCAUUCUUUCUCACCAAGGUCCAGCCGCUGAACAGCCUCCCAUGCGCAAUUGAUCAGGAAGACACACAUGGCUACCAACGAUGUCCCAGCCAAAGGUUGUUUUCCAACAACGAUGGUCCCGAAACUUAAAUCCGUAUUUGUGGCUUGCUUGCGUCUGAAAAAAGAGUUUAUCAUAUUUCUCCCCGCCUUCGAGAAAAGUUUGUGAAUCGUUUCUCUACAUGUGUCAAGAAAUAACAAAGCAAACAGAAUGGGCAUUGAGCAUUUUCAAUGAUCACAGCGCCUGGGAAGCAGAAUUAUCGGCAUUUGUAUUAUAUACAUCACAAAAUCACAAUCUGGCCUUCUUAAAACUGUGGCGUUAAAACUCUCAACUAAGGAGGCGAUGAUCAUUCUCACCAAUGCAGCUGCAGGAAGAGGAUCAAUCAAACCCCCAAAAAUGCAGGCUCGAGUCCUGCAGGACGAUUCAGUGCAUGUCUAUCACUACGAGUAGUUAUAGCUAAAGAGCAUUUAGUCCCGUGGCAGUUGUGAUGACAAAAUAUUCAGAUAAAUAGUUAAUGCAAAACGGAAAAAAAGGAGGAUCAUCAAGAACUGAAACCUAUCACAGACACAC
rnacentral:sRNA from 1 species